ACCAACGCCCACACACAGACUCUUGCAAGAGUGCCUCUCUCACCACACGCGCCAGAUUCGCCUUUUCCCUCUGUCGCCCCCUUUCUCCCACCCCCUGUUCUCACCCCCUGCUCGUCUCCGCAAAGGUGCUCGCUAUCGCCCGUGAAAGCACUGCUCACCGGACAUACUUUUCUUGGUGCGCACUUUUAUUGAGAUCCCGUCUCCGCCUCCGCGAAUUGUGCGUACCGAUACCGGCAGACACCGCACGCACAGGGACGACGCAUGCUGCGCCGCAGCCACGUGCUUCUGCGCGUGAGCCCGUUUGCGCUCUUCGUGCAGGACGUAGGCAAGACCGGUAAGCUGAAGGGGGCAAAGAACGCAUGCGAAACCGCAGCGAAGAUGUACUGGAAGCUCUCUCCGGCGGAGAAGAGUGCGCUGACGCGAAGGGCCAAAAAAAAGACGUUCCCGUUGCAGGAGGCAUAUCAGCGCAUGGCGAAGCGCAAGAUGAGGCGCCUGCGCGACAUGCCCAUAUCGAAGCGCCAGGAGCACAUCAGGGCGAAGUGGACGUCCAUGAGGGGGUCUCAGGCAAGCAAGCCGACGAAUACGGUGCCAAGCGCCAAGGCGAAGGUCAAGGCGACCAGAAAGGCUGGGAAAAAGAUCGCGAAGGGGCCGAGGAAGUAACGCCCCGGCACUGAGGAGCAUGACAAGCUCGCACCACAGACAGAACGAAACACUGCCUACAGCACGUGCGCGAGAGAGGGUUGUUCGUGCCUUCCUUUUUGCUUUCUUCUGUGUGCUCUACCACUUCGGUGUUCUCCAUGCACACGCAGUCUAGGUGGUGCUGCUUGGGUGAUGGAGCGAGGAGCGCGAGAGGGAGGAAGGGGAAGGGGAGUCACCCUAUAUCUUGGCGAAGACGACGUCUGUGCGAGGAAUGCGGUGCGCGCGCGUGCGUGAAUCCUUUGUUUUGUACAAUCAUAGAUCUGCUCUCUUUGUUGUUGUUAUUACUGUUUUUUUUUUUUUGAAGCGGGCGCGCCUGCGCCUACAAAGUCAUGCCCGCAUUCCUCCCGUCCGCCAUCCCGUGAUGCGGCGCGCACACCGCUCCAGAUGUCCCUCCCCUUCGUCUUGUGUGUCUCCUCCUCAUCUGUGUGCGCAUCUCGCCAUUACCGACUCCAUAGAGAAUGCCGGCCCGACAGCAGCGAUGACAUGCGUGUGAUAGAGAGAGAGGCACCACCACUGCCGCCGAUGAAAUUGCUCCUCUCCCUCGCCGGUCCACCGUUGUCGUUGCGGUUGAUGGUCGCCUAAUCUUCGGGUAUCCCUUAUCCUUGCGCGCGUGUUGCCGCGCUCUUUGUCGAUGGCCAGACGGACCUGCACGUUGCUACACGCGCCCCACCCCCUUUUUUCGUGGUUUCCAUAAUUUGUUUUCUUUCUCUCUGCCUCCUCUCGUCGUUUUGACGUGUGCUCAUCGGCGGCGGCGGCGGCGGCUUCUCUCCCUCUCUAUUGACAUCUCUCUUACCCUCGUUUCGGCUAUGCUACAUCCUCCCUUUCCAAGCUGUCGAGCGUCAUCGGUGUGAGAGCACCCUUUUACUUGGUCCGGUUUUGACUUGCCGUUGAUGUGGCGCCGGCAACGAAAGCCCCUCCCCCUUGCACACCCACUCGCGCGCACGCUGAAAAAGGAAAGGAUGCCUUUGUCUCUCGCCUCUUCGGUGACUCGUAAAUGUAUACGAUGAAGUUAUAGGAUCGCGUCGACACCGGUACCCACGCAC
rnacentral:misc_RNA from 1 species